GGUUCUAUAGUGUAGUGGUUAGCACUCUGGACUUUGAAUCCAGCGACUCGAGUUCGAAUCUCGAUAGAACCU
rfam:Perkinsus marinus ATCC 50983 gcontig_1104296693512, whole genome shotgun sequence.